CAACGAGUCCCUGAAAAAUCCC
rnacentral:miRNA from 1 species